UUUGAAACCUUCACAACUCAUAUUCCACAACUCAAUUUUUUUUUUCACUAUUUUUCUUCCAAACAAGCAUUCAUUUUCAUUCUUUUUAUUUUUGUUCUUUUCUUUCACAUCAUAUUUACAAAACAGGUGUUUCUUUUCUAUAUUUUCAUUUUCAAUGCUUGCUUGGUUUUUCAUUUUUAUUUUCAAGAGUUGUGGUACUUACCAAUUCUCCCUAACUUAUUUCUUACUCACCCUAAGUGAAUGCUCUUAACUUUUUACGGCAAAAGAACAAUAAUCAAGAUUUUCCAGGUUGUAACAAAAAGAUUUUUGAAAUCUCGCUUUAUUUCAAGCUGAGAUUCAAGUGUUUAAGCUCAAAGGGGUUAACAAAUACUCUCUCUGCUCACAGGUAAACUGUUUUUGGAUGUAGUUGUGCUCGAUAAAAAAACAAGUGCCUUGAUCAUUUCUAAUUGCUUCCACAUAUUCACAAUAAUAAAAGACAAAGCAUGAAUCAAAUGAAUCAACAAAAGUUAUUAGAAUCCAGCAUUUAAGUGUACAAUGGAGGUUUCCUCACAAUUUGUGGUUUAAAGUUCUAGAUGA
rnacentral:lncRNA from 1 species